UGGUCCGUUGGUCAAGGGGUUAAGACACCGCCUUUUCACGGCUGUAACACGGGUUCGAAUCCCGUACGGACUAUC
rnacentral:tRNA from 1 species